GGGCGCUGGGGUCCUGCUUUGGGUUUCAAGCCAGACUCUUCCUCACAACACCCCCCCAAUGGAACCCAAAUUCCUCAGCUGUCAAGUAGGAUCCUAAUGAAUGAGACUGAAGGCCGAGGUCUGACGCUCAACGUUAAAGUCACUGUGUCAUGAUGGUGAUUCGUGGUGUGGUGGUUUGUACGUGUUUGGCCCAGGGAGUGGCACUAUUUGGAAGUGUGGCCUUGUCGGAGGAGGUGUGGCCUUGUUGGAGGAGGUGUGGCCUGUCACUGUGGGUGUGGCCUUUAAGACUCUCAGUCUUCCCCUAACAGCUUUCAGAUCAAGGUGUAGAACUCUCACCUCCUGCACCAUGCCUGCCUGGAAGCUGCCAUGCUCCUGCCUUGAUGAUAAUGGACUGAACCUCUGAACCUGGAACCUGUCCAGCAACUGCUGUGAUCCCAUCUGAAAGGCACUAGGGCUCAGAAAUCUCCAAGAUUCUUGAAGGACUAUGAAGUCACCAGAAGGGAUGACUUUCCACCAGGCUUCCUGACUACCUUCCUCGUUCGGCUUCUCAGCUCCGACUGUGGAGACACGGGCUGUCUGUGAGACAGAUGGAAUCUGGACUUCAUGUUCUCUGGCAUUGGUGAUAAGAUUCCCUACGCAGCCAAGAUCUCUGAAAUCAACCACUCCAAACCUUCACAGAAUCCCGUAGCGCAAGUUCUUUUGUUCUUCCUUGGGCUCCCCCAACACCCAGCCCCCUA